rnacentral:misc_RNA from 2 species
AAUUCUCAACCCCUCUUGAUUUGUUUCGAGGGGGAGCUUGGAUUGUGGGGGCUGCCGGAGACUAGGACUCGUCCUUGACUCGGGCUCUCCUUAAAUGCAUCGGCUUGCGGUCGACUUUCGACUUUGCGCGACAAGGCUUUCGGCGUGAUAAUGAUCGCCGUUCGCUGAAGCGCAUGAAUGAAGGUUCCGUGCCUCUAAUUCGUCGACUUAGUAUCUCUUCCGAGAGAAAACGUCUUCUUCAUUGAC